UACGGGGGGAGCAAGCGUUGUUCGGAUUUACUGGGCGUAAAGGGCGCGUAGGCGGCCAGCACAAGUCAGUUGUGAAAUCUCCGGGCUUAACUCGGAAAGGUCAACUGAUACUGUGCGGCUAGAGUGCAGAAGGGGCAACUGGAAUUCUCGGUGUAGCGGUGAAAUGCGCAGAUAUCAGGAGGAACACCGGUGGCGAAGGCGGGUCUCUGGGCCGUAACUGACGCUGAGGAGCGAAAGCGUGGGGAGCGAACAGG
rnacentral:rRNA from 1 species